UACGUAGGGGGCGAGCGUUGUCCGGAUUUAUUGGGCGUAAAGAGCGUGUAGGCGGCUUGGCAAGUCGGAUGUGAAAUCCCUCGGCUCAACCAAGGAAGUGCAUCCGAAACUGCUGAGCUUGAGUACUUAAGAGGAUCGCGGAAUUCCCGGUGUAGAGGUGAAAUUCGUAGAUAUCGGGAGGAACACCAGUGGCGAAGGCGGCGAUCUGGGAAGAUACUGACGCUGAGGUGCGAAAGCGUGGGGAGCAAACAGGG
rnacentral:rRNA from 1 species